rnacentral:rRNA from 1 species
AUUGAACGCUGGCGGCAGGGCUAACACAUGCAAGUCGAGCGGAUGAAGGGAGCUUGCUCCUGGAUUCAGCGGCGGACGGGUGAGUAAUGCCUAGGAAUCUGCCUGGUAGUGGGGGAUAACGUCCGGAAACGGGCGCUAAUACCGCAUACGUCCUGAGGGAGAAAGUGGGGGAUCUUCGGACCUCACGCUAUCAGAUGAGCCUAGGUCGGAUUAGCUAGUUGGUGGGGUAAAGGCCUACCAAGGCGACGAUCCGUAACUGGUCUGAGAGGAUGAUCAGUCACACUGGAACUGAGACAUGGUCCAGACUCCUACGGGAGGCAGCAGUGGGGAAUAUUGGACAAUGGGCGAAAGCCUGAUCCAGCCAUGCCGCGUGUGUGAAGAAGGUCUUCGGAUUGUAAAGCACUUUAAGUUGGGAGGAAGGGCAGUAAGUUAAUACCUUGCUGUUUUGACGUUACCAACAGAAUAAGCACCGGCUGACUUCGUG